rnacentral:lncRNA from 1 species
GUUAUCAUUUGCAAGAUCAUAUGAAUCAAAAUUUAAUAAACGUAUAUUGUUAAAUUUUGUGUGACUUUCAUAAUAACUUUUAAAUAAAAAGCACAUCAGCAAAAUAUUUUCAGAUAUUUUGACUUCACUUAAUGAGCCAUAUUUGGAUGAUUUGAGACGUUUUCGGGAUAAUACAUGUACCUCUAAUAAGGCUAUUAAUAGAAAUUCAACCAAACUAAAGGGCCUGCCAUUUUUACAGUUAAAUGAGGGAAAAUAAGUGUUUGAUAGGGGCAGAUAGUGUUAUAUAAAAUGUUCCCUUUAACACGUAUGGUAUGAGUACCUUACAGUACAUGGAGCGUAGAAAUUGACCUCCAUGAGGCCGCUCAUUUAAAAUCAUUUUUACCAGAGGAAGAAACUUGCAGAUUACACAAGUUAAGUUAACAUAUUGUAUACUCCCUUCAACCAACUCCUAAAUGAAUUUAAUUUUUUUCUUUUCAUUUUUCUAUUCUUUUUUUCUGGUUACUUGUCCGGCUACUGUAAAUUUAAUUUUAAGUUAAACAAAUGGAAUGCUAUCAGCGCAAACAUAUAUUUUUUUUCUAUUUUAUUUCCUUGUUAUUCAAAAUAGUUUGUUCAAGAUGUAUUUGAAAUAUUAUUAUAUACAUAUACAUGUAGCUUACUUUCAAUGUAAAAAUUACCAUGGCUUGUUGAACCUCAAAUGGCCAUCAGUCUAAAGCUACCCUAAAAGUGGCAACAUUUUGUGUAUUUUUACGAAAAGUUUGAACUCAAAUAUACCUAUAAAAAAGAAGAUGCGGUAUGAUUGUCAAUGAGACAACUGUCCACAAGUGACCAAAAUGACCAAGACAUUGACAACUAUAGGUCACCGUACGGCCUUCAACAAUGAGCAAAGCCCAUACCGAAUAGUCAGCUUUAAAAGGCCUCGAUAUGACAAUUCAAAACAAUUCAAACGAGAAAACUAACGGCCUUGAAAAAAAAUGAACGAACAACAAAUAUGUAACACAUAAACAAACGACAACCACUAAAUUACAGGCUUCUGAUUUGGGAUAGGCACAUAUAUAAAUAACGUGGCGGGGUUAAACAUCUAAGUAGGAACCCAACCUUCCCCUAACCUGGGACAGUGGUAUAACAGUACAACAUAAGAAAAUUAUACGACUUUUUGUUUAACAGCUAUUUUGAUACAGU